UUUUUCACCCCAAUCUGCAAGAGAAAUCUUUCCAAAAUUUACCCACAAUCAAUUGAAAUCAAUCACCAAAAGUUACUCUCAAUACACGUUCUAUAAUUGUCAUACCGCCUCACUUUCACACGUACUACCAUUCUGCAAUACAAGCCAUUUCUACCAUCCCUCAAGCAAAUUCAUAAGACGGGGUAAAGGAGGAGGAGGAAGUAAAGCAGUUUCCCUUGCACCCAAGUUCAUACCGUCCUCCCUAACAUUGUUGUCUCGUUUCUAUUGAGUCCUACCACAAAGAUCACACACUCAAGCUUCCUGCAAGAACAAAUUCCUUCCUACUUUCUUCAAUCCAUUCAAAUUCACGAAACCGAGAACCGGGGUCAAGAGAUGGACUAUCGCCUGUUUCACUCGAAAUCUGUCUUUGAAGGGGCAGGAAAAAUGCUGAAACAAUGGAGCCUUCCUAACCAGCGAGUUGAUCAAGUGGAGUUCACCACAUAAGAGGAUGAGUUAUAGGAGAGAGAAAAGAAGAUGUCAUCUCAAGGGCAUUAAUGUCAAGACAGGAUUCCAUCUCAACUUGGAAAAAUGCUGAAGCAGUGGAGUGUCACGUAUUCUAUCAUCAUGUUUACUCAGGUAUUACUCAAAUAUAAAACACAUUAUGCAAAUCAUGUAAUUUGUAUAACCUAUGUAGAGCAGGGUCACAUCAAGUAAAUUAUUUGCAGGUACUAAGUAUCAAAAUCUCAUCUUUUCUCACAUUCGUC